rnacentral:rRNA from 1 species
UAAGGAAUAUUGGUCAAUGGACGGAAGUCUGAACCAGCCAUCCCGCGUGCAGGAUGAAGGUCCUAUGGAUUGUAAACUGCUUUUAGCAGAGACGAAACGCUUUCAUUUAUGGGAGUCUGACGGUAUCUGCAGAAUAAGCACCGGCUAACUCCGUGCCAGCAGCCGCGGUAAUACGGAGGGUGCGAGCGUUAUCCGGAAUCACUGGGUUUAAAGGGUGCGUAGGCGGGUUAUUAAGUCAGUGGUGAAAUCCUGUCGCUUAACGAUAGAAUUGCCAUUGAUACUGAUAGUCUUGAAUUGGGUUGAGGUUAGCGGAAUGUGACAUGUAGCGGUGAAAUGCAUAGAUAUGUCAUGGAACACCAAUUGCGAAGGCAGCUAGCUGGGCCUUGAUUGACGCUGAUGCACGAAAGCGUGGGUAGCGAACAGG